GGCGACCGGCGCACGGGUGCGUAACGCGUAUGCAACUUGCCCUAUACAGGAGGAUAACCCGUCGAAAGACGGACUAAUACUGCGUAUGCUCACAUCUUGGCAUCAAGAGGUGAGGAAAGAAAUUCGGUAUAGGAUAGGCAUGCGUCCCAUUAGCUUGUUGGUGAGGUAACGGCUCACCAAGGCGACGAUGGGUAGGGGAACUGAGAGGUUUAUCCCCCACACUGGUACUGAGACACGGACCAGACUCC
rnacentral:rRNA from 1 species